CUCCCUUUCAAUGGAUUUUCAUGUAUGUAUGUCCAUAUGCACUACCUGUGCUGUGCAAGUGCUAUCAGCCAAGGAACCUGUGCUAACUUAGGUGCACGUGUAUAGCUGGUUUACAGGUAGGAAGAAUUUGGAGUGUUCUGUGUGAGUAUCCCUGCUGCUGAAAUGCAGUACUUCUGCUCAUGAGAUAAUGUUUCAGAUAUUGAUACUUGCUUUUAUAUUCAAAUUACAAAAACACUUCAAAGAUCAGCCCUUUGCUGCAACAGCAGUACUGCUGUAACAGAGACAAUCUCUUCUUCGAAUGUGAAAAUCACCAUCAGACAACAACAACUCCACCACCUCUGUGUUCCAGGUUGCUAGUGUUAUGCCAUGCCAACCAACCUAUGCUAGGGAGAAACUAAAUGUAUGUAUUAUCCAAACAUCUUCAAGCAGAGAACCUGAAUUCAUUUAGGUCCACGUGGUGUGGACAAGGCUGCGGGGUACAAAUCUAGCCACACCACCUGAAAGAUGCUGUGUGUAAUUUAUCCUACUUGUUAAAAAGGAAAACAAUAAGUUACUAGAGGUGAAAUAGGGCCUUAAGAAGCAAGAGAUAAAGAUGUUGAUACAAGGUUCAGCACAGGAAGGCUGCAAUUUAAGAUCCAGUUCCCUAAACGUGAGGACGAUGCAAUGAUAACAGUAACAGAAAAAGUGGAAGGAGCUGUGGAUGAAGAAGGGCCAAAGAAAAAAUAAAGAGUUUUGUUUGUAAUAAAAUGUGGCAAUUACUUGAUGAAGCCUGAAGUUCUGCCAGGAAAACACAGAAAAAUCACACAAAUCAAUGGGAGCAGCUGAUAUUCUAAUAAAUCACUACUAAAGUACAUGGUGCCCCGUGAUUUGUUCCAUGUCGAGGGAGGAAUUCUGAAUGAUGGGUAUUUCCAUAGCCUUGAGGUUCCCAGGAGUCGAAAGAACAGACACUGACAUAACACAGUGAUCUGAGGCAAACUUACAGAACAUUAUCUUCACAAAAGCCACCACCAGGAUGAAAGAAGCCCAGGAAGUCCCACUCCUGGAGUAAAACAAAGAAUGGAAAACAAGCACAAAGCAUUUCAUUCCCCGUUCCUUUUCAGUAGGCAUGGAGAACCACCAUACAAAAGGGAAAACCAAAGCAGGAAAAGCCAG
ensembl:lncRNA